rnacentral:rRNA from 1 species
CGCCUGGGGGAGGGCUCGGCUCGGGCGCCGAGGAAGGGGGUGGCAAGCUGCCAUAAGCCCCGGGGAGCCGCAGGCAGGCUUCGAUCCGGGGAUCCCCGAAUGGCGAUGCCGCCGAGAGGCGCUCCCGGCAGGGAGCGGGAACCCCCCGAAUUGAAGCAUCUCAGUAGGGGGAGGAGGAGAAACCAACCGGGAUGCCCUGAGUACCGGCGAGGGAAAGGGGCUGAGCUCAAACCGAACUCCCGCUCGCGAGAGCGGGUGGAUGUGGGGUUGCGGGGGGAUCGGGAGCCGCUGGGAGGGAAGCCGAAGUGGCCUGGAACGGCCCGCCAUAGAGGGUGAGAGCCCCGUAGGCGUAACCUACCAGCGGUCCGGUCCUCUCCCGAGUACCGUGGGUUGGAAUACCCGCGGGAAUCCGGGGGUCAUCGACCUCCAAAGCUAAAUACGUCCCGAGACCGAUAGCGAACUGAGUACCGUGAGGGAAAGCUGAAAAGCACCGCUGGCGCGGGGUGAAAAGAGCCUGAAACCAGGCGGUCAUAGGAGCGGCGGCCCUCAAGGGCUGAAGCUCCCGAAGGAAAAUGCCGCGAGGCAUGAGUACGAGGGAGCGGACCGGGGUCGCCCCGUACGUCUUGAAACACGCGCCGGGGAGUUCACGGGCGUGGCGAGCCUAAGGGCCUUAAGCCCGAAGGCGGAGCGAAAGCGAGGACCCCGCAGCGAUGCGAGGGGGUCGCCUCCGAAAGGGGGUUCAGUCACGCUCGUGAGACCAGAAGCCGGGCGAUCUACUCCUGGGCAGGGCGAAGCCGGGUCGCGAGCCCGGUGGAGGCCCGAUAGGGAUGGUGAGGUGCAAAUCCCUCCCGUGACCUGGGAGUAGGGGCAAAAGACCAAUCUAGCCCGGCAAUAGCUGGUUCCCGCCGAAGCCUCCCGCAGGAGGAUCUCCGCGGAGGGUGGGGGCGUGGUAGGGCAACGAUUGGGUGGGUAAGGGGCUCUGCCCCGCCACCCUCUCGAACCCCGAAUGCGCCUCCCCCGUAGAGGCGGGGAGCCGGGCGGCGGGGGGAAGCUCCGUCGCCGAGAGGGGAACAACCCGGACCGGGGUUAAGGUCCCCAAGUCCUGGCUAAGUGCCGAAAUCCGAAGGGCGUCUCCCUCCUAAGACAGCGGGGAGGUAGGCUCAGAAGCAGCCAUCCUUUAAAGAGUGCGUAAAAGCUCACCCGCCGAGGAGGGAGGCCCCCAAAAUGAGUCGGGGCUGAAGCCAGGCACCGAUACCCCGGCAGCGUCCUGGAAGGGCGCUGGGUAGGCGGGCGCGCACACCGGGCGGAAGCCGGGGCGUGAGCUCCGGUGGACCGGUGUGUGUUGCAAAUCCCGGCGGUAGUAGCAGCGAAGUGGGGUGAGAAUCCCCACGGCCGAAAGCGCCAGGGUUCGCCGGCAAUGCUUCGUCAGCCGGCGGUUAGCCGGUCCUAAGGCGGCACCCAACUGGUAGCCGCCGAAAGGGAAGCCGGUUAAUAUUCCGGCGCCACCGGGGUAGGCGGCAACGCAGGCCUCACCCCUGACGCCUCGGGCUAGGCUGAGCGGGGGCCCGCUGAGGCGGGCGACCCGUCCAAGCGCUUAAGGCCGCCGAGAACCGUAAUGGUGAGAAGCGGCUGAAGGCGCGAUGGGGGCCCCUUUGGGGGCCUUCGGCUCAUGCCUGGGGACCUUGAAAAGGGGGUGGGGAGCGAUCCCCGGUGUCCGUACCGAGAUCCGACACAGGUGCGCUGGCUGAGAAGGCCUAAGGCCUAUCGGUCCUAACGCGGGAGAGGGAACUCGGCAAAUUGGCCCCGUAACUUCGGGAGAUGGGGUGCCUGCGUUCCUCCGAAAGGGGGUCCGCAGGUCGCAGUGACAAGGGGCGCCCGACUGUUUAACAAAAACAUAGUUCCCCGCGAGCCCGCAAGGGUGUGUACGGGGGAUGAGGCCUGGCCAAUGCCGGUACCUGAAGCCCCGGUACAACGGGGUGAAGGGCCGGUGAAAGCCGGGAGUAACUCUGACUCUCUUAACGGCAGGUCCCCUCGGGGGACCUCCGGGGGAAAGGUAGCCAUAUGCCUUGCCGAAUAAAAAUCGGCGUGCAUGAAUGGCUUAACGAGGUGCCCGCUGUCCCCUCCCGCGGGCCGGUGAACCCGCAUCCCGGUGUACAGACCGGGACGCCCCAACGGGGAGAGAAGACCCUGUGGAGCUUCACUGCAGCCUGGUCUUGUGGUACAGCUGGGGAUGCAGAGGGUAGGCGGGAGCGAUGUGGCCACCCUCCAGGGGGUGGCCGAAGCGACGAUGGAACACCGCCCUUCUCCAGCUGUACCACUAACCGCUCCGGCGGGACAGGGCCAGGUGGGCAGUUUGGCUGGGGUGGCACGCCCCUGCAAAGGUAUCAGGGGCGCCCUAAGGCGAGCUCAGGCGGGACAGAAACCCGCCGUAGAGGGCAAGGCCAAAAGCUCGCCUGACUGGAUCCCUAAACGCGUGGGAUCCAGGGGUGAAAGCCGGGCCUAGCGAACACUCGAGCCCUCUCGGUGAGGGCCGGGUACGACAAAAAAGUUACCCCAGGGGUAACGGAGCUGUGGCGGGCGAGAGUCCCCAUCGGCCCCGCCGCUUGCUUCCCCGACGUCGGCACUGCCCAUCCUGGGGGUGCAGCAGCCUCCAAGGGUGGGGAUGUUCGCCCAUUAAAGGGGAACGUGAGCUGGGUUCAGAACGUCGCGAGCCAGUUCGGUUUCUCCCUGUUGGGGCUGCAAGGCCGCCUGAGGGGAAGGGACCCUUAGUACGAAAGGAACGGGGUGUCGGGGCCUCCGGUGUACCGGUCGUCCGAGAGGGCGGCGCCGGGUAGCCGCGCCCCAGCCGAUAAGGGCUGAAAGCAUCUAAGCCCGAAGCGGCCCCCGAAAAUAGGCGGCCUCGCCCCUCGUGGGGUCAGGGCGCGGGUAGAAGACCCGUUCGAUGGGGGGGUGGUGUAAGGCAGGAGCUUCGGCGGACUGCCUCAGC